CUUUAAGUUACUGUUGUAAAGAUGUGUAAAAUUAAUUACAUAAAAUUGUUCAUAUGAUUAUUAUGUAAACUCUACAUAGAAAAGUUAAAUCAUAACAUUUUUGUUUUAAAGAUUUUUUCUAAAUGAUAAAAAAAAUAUCCAUUAAGUAUCAGUAUUUUCAAUUAAUGUCACAAAUAAAGAAGGGAUUGCCAGUCUUUCCAAAAAAAUCAAAGUUCAAAAGUACACACAUGUAGAUUCAGUCAAAAUUAUCAUUUGUGUUUGUGUUAAGUCAAUCACUUUGGCAAUUGCUUUUGAUUUGUAUUGAUAACACUCCUAUUUACAACCACAUAUAGAAAUUAUUUGAGAGAUAUUAAGUAUGAAUUACCAAUGCACUCUUAAAUUCACUGUGUCAGUGUGAAAAAUAACCCAUAAAAGUGAUUUUUAUUAAAAAGCACCUUGUGUGUCAUGUGUAAAUGGAAGGUUUGAAAAGAUUCUUUCAUUCACACAGAGUAAUGCAAGUUUUUACAAGGGGUCAAUCAUCCUAAUUAUUUGCCACUUGCCAUUAAGCAACCAACAAUAAAUUAAUAACCAAUUAUUAUUACAUAGGUUGCAAUAAAUUACAUUGAUUUCCCAGUUAAAUAAAAACCGAUAAUUUCACAUGUGAAAUAAACGUGGUUAUUUCACUCUCUUGACGUCAUACAACAAUAGGCGUUGUCAGACGUCGAUAACGUCGGAUCAAAACAAAUUGUAAAUGCGUAGGAAAAACAUAUAGUCCCUUACAUUUUCUACAUUAAUUUCAUAAAAAAAAGCCAUUUGACAAUGUAAUAAAAAGUAUAACUAAUAGCCGUAUUUGAAUAUCAAAAAUAAGACAACUUGUGACCUAACGCCGCUAUGGAUUAAACUCGUGCUGCGCACUCGUUUAAUCCAUGCGUCGUUCGGUCACGCGUUGUCUUAUUUUUUCAUAUUCAAAUACGGCGAUUAGUUAUACUAUAAUUCCAAAUUAUCUCCCUUUCCACCAGUUUCCUCCCCUGCUUUCCAUUAACCUUUAUGCACUCUCACCAAUCUGUCUUCAUAUUUCUGAGUCCUUCUACUGUUUCUUACUCUUAACUUUCUUUACCAGAAUACUGACAAUACUUAAAUUGGUAUACCCGUUUAAUUUUAAUCAAAUUCACCAAAUGUUUUGGGGAGAUACCAAAAUAUUCCAAAAUACAACUUUUAAGGGAGAACACAACAAAGCUUUGAUUUUUUUUUUGAAAGACUGGUACCCCAUUGUAAAAUAAACCAGGUCACAAGGUCAGUAGUGUGUAGAGGUCACAGGGUCAGUAGUUUGUAGAGGUCACAUGGUCCAUAAUCAUUCCAUGUCACAUGUAUAUGUCAUUUUAUUGAAUGCUCAAAAAAGAACAAAUUAAAUCAUAUGAAAAUAGUAUGUCUUUGUGUUUUUGUUCACUGAUGACUAAAGAAGAACUGAAUUUUAAUG
rnacentral:lncRNA from 1 species